rnacentral:snoRNA from 1 species
AAGACCUUACUUCAUAGGAUCAUUUCUAUAGUAAGCUCUUCACGAGACUCACACAACACGUGAGAUCUAUCCAGCCAUGUUGAUGAGAUGUGGCGCGGCGUCCUGAGCGUGAGGCGGACAAUGGCUUAAUACCAUUAGUCCUCGAUGAUCGUUCACCCAGGUCCUUCGGGAUCUGGGCGUAGGACGUUGUCGCUAUCUGAGUGGC